rnacentral:rRNA from 1 species
UCGGAAUUGCUAGUAAUCGCGGAUCAGCAUGCCGCGGUGAAUACGUUCCCGGGCCUUGUACACACCGCCCGUCACACCAUGGGAGCCGGUAAUACCCGAAGUCAGUAGACCAACCUCGUGAGGACGCUGCCGAAGGUAGGAUUGGCGACUGGGGUGAAGUCGUAACAAGGUACC